UGGGUUCGACCUGAGCUCGGACAAGGCUACCC
rnacentral:rRNA from 1 species